AGACAAUGCGACCCGACCGCGCUGAGGCUCCAGGACCGCCCGCCAUGGCUGCAGGAGGUCCCGCCGCGGGGUCUGCGGCCCCGAUCUCCUCCACAUCCUCCCUUCCCCUGGCUGCUCUCAACAUGCGAGUGCGGCGCCGCCUGUCUCUGUUCUUGAACGUGCGGACACAGGUGGCGGCCGACUGGACCGCGCUGGCGGAGGAGAUGGACUUUGAGUACUUGGAGAUCCGGCAACUGGAGACACACGCGGACCCCACUGGCAGGCUGCUGGACGCCUGGCAGGGACGCCCUGGCGCCUCGGUAGGCCGACUGCUUGAGCUGCUUACCAAGCUGGGCCGCGACGACGUGCUGCUGGAGCUGGGACCCAGCAUUGAGGAGGAUUGCCAAAAGUAUAUCUUGAAGCAGCAGCAGGAGGAGGCUGAGAAGCCUUUACAGGUGGCCGCUGUAGACAGCAGUGUCCCACGGACAGCAGAGCUGGCGGGCAUCACCACACUUGAUGACCCCCUGGGUAAGGGUCCAAUACUGUUCCCAUGGGACAGGUGGAAUAGGACAUUGUGGUGUUAAGAGCAUGGGUGUUUGAAGCAGAUGGGCUGUGAGACCUUGGGCAAGUCACUUAAUCUUUCUGAGCCUCAGUUUCCUCACUUAAGAAAUGGAGAUAAUAGUCCUACCUCUGGAUUGCUGUGAGAUGCUCAUGAAAUAAUGUCUGUCUCGUGGUUAAUCCAGAGCUUAGCCCCUGAGGUACUCAUCUUUCCUCUCCUGGAAAGGGCACUUUCUCUGAGGAGUAUCAUCUUGGGAAGGGUGCAGGGCCCAGGGUUGCCUAGGCAGGGGACUCUUGGCUGGAUCCCUCCCAAGCCUUCCCAUGGAGCUCUGACCACCACCCUUGUGCUCUGCACCCAGGGCAUAUGCCUGAGCGUUUCGAUGCCUUCAUCUGCUAUUGCCCCAGCGACAUCCAGUUUGUGCAGGAGAUGAUCCGGCAACUGGAACAGACAAACUAUCGACUGAAGUUGUGUGUGUCUGACCGCGAUGUCCUGCCUGGCACCUGUGUCUGGUCCAUUGCUAGUGAGCUCAUCGAAAAGAGGUUGGCUAGAA
rnacentral:sRNA from 1 species